rnacentral:rRNA from 1 species
UACGGAGGGUGCAAGCGUUGUCCGGAAUCACUGGGCGUAAAGGGCGCGUAGGCGGCCCGGUAAGUAGGGGGUGAAAUCCUGCGGCUUAACCGCAGGGCUGCCUUCUAAACUGUCGGGCUCGAGCACGGUAGAGGCAGAUGGACUUCCCGGUGUAGCGGUGGAAUGCGUAGAGAUCGGGAAGAACAUCAGUGGCGAAGGCGGUCUGCUGGGCCGUUGCUGACGCUGAGGCGCGACAGCGUGGGGAGCAAACAGG